rnacentral:misc_RNA from 1 species
GAUGAAGAACGCAGCGAAAUGCGAUAAGUAAUGUGAAUUGCAGAAUUCAGUGAAUCAUCGAAUCUAUGAACGCACAUUGCGCCCGCCAGCAUUCUGGCGGGCAUGCCUGUUCGAGCGUCAUUUCAACCCUCGAGCCCCCCCGGGGGCCUCGGUGUUGGGGGACGGCACACCAGCCGCCCCCGAAAUGCAGUGGCGACCCCGCCGCAGCCUCCCCUGCGUAGUAGCACACACCUCGCACCGGAGCGCGGAGGCGGUCACGCCGUAAAACGCCCAACUUUCUUAGAGUUGACCUCGGAUCAGGUAGGAAUACCCGCUGAACUUAAGCAUAUCAAUAAGCGGAGGA